AGGAUAAUAGUUAAAAUUAACAUUUAAUUUGCAAUUAAAAAACAUUGAAUUAUUCAAUUUAUCUU
rnacentral:tRNA from 1 species